rnacentral:lncRNA from 1 species
GUGAUACACAAAAAUGCUGGAAUUGGAGCAAAACCGAGCUGAAAUGUCAAAUGUCAAGUCAUGGAUCAAUACAUAAAAGUGUUAGAAUAAAUUGCAAGGUUUUUGGAGAAUGGGACAAGAUUUUGGAAGCAACAUUCUGUGAAAAAGUCCCACUCGCGUAGCGCGAGAGAGAACCCUUUGACAGUCGCGCUACACCACUGCUAAAAUUGACUUUUCGUUGACUGGAGAGCACUCGCGUAGCGCGAGCACAUGACCUUUACCAGUCGCGCUACGCGACUGGUGUAACUGACACGCCUGAUAUGCUGGUCGACUAGGGUUUCAUAUAAAUUGAAUAUUUUAUCAUCAACAACAAGAAGACACGAAUCAAGAACCCUAAGGCGAUUUUCUCAGCAGAUUUUGAAGGUUUUCGAGGCGUUCGAGCGUACAAGAAUCAUAGGAUCGAAGCACGGAGCGUAGGAAAGAAGAUAACUCGGGUCUUACCUCCCGUUUUUCACUAUUUUCACGUUUUGUCACUUUAACCAUGAAUUCUUGUUUUGAAACUGAUUUGUUUUCGUUAGACAUGAUGUUUCUUGGCUAGAUCUUCGUAACUGCCUAGACUAGAUGAUGAAUUUUUGA